GUAGGUCCCCAACUCUUCCUUCCCCCCGUCUUCACAGCCAUUUUCCAGGGAUGCCCAUUCCUGCUGGGGUAGCCAGCUGUGACCAGGUCAGUGUGGAAAGUGAGCCCUGGGAGACCUGAGGCCUGAGGCCCUGGGCUUCCGCUUGACCUGGCUGGGUCAGCCGUGGGAGGCAGAGCCUGGCUCUGUUUAUCCAGGCCGGACACUUCCGGAGCAGAUGGGCGCCUGUCAGAGCCACCAGCCAGGAACUGGGCUGACGUCCUCUCAUUGCCAAGUGGCAGGUGACUCGAGGGCCUGGAGGGAACAUGGGUUUGGUUUGCCUGUUUAUUAGGGAACUCUCUCUCUGAGCUGGGAGCUGCCUGCACAGCUGAUUCUGGGGCCAGCAUUGAACGCAAGGUGUCAGCAAGUCUCCUGCCAGAGGUCCUGACGGAGGGGCUGUUCCAGGCCAUGCUCCUGGCUUCCGGUGGUUGCCGGCAACCCUGUGCAUUCCCUGCUUGUAGAGAUGAGAAAAUGGAGGUACCAAAAAGUGGGCUCUGAACUGCAGAGCCUGGCUCCAGAGCCCUUGUAUUUGACUACUGGGAUCCACCGUUAUUCUCACAGCCGCGUUUCCCACAGGGCUGCUUUGUAUGGCCUCUUAGAAAAGUCCUGCCUGUCUCCACCAUCCAGACUAUGAUGUCCGUGAGGUCAGAGGAAAGGGAGAAUGUCUCACAUACAGAAAAUGCUUGAUCAACAUUGAUGGAAUCAUAAAUGGGCCUCAGCGGCACCUGUCCUGAGUCAGCAUCUCACAGAGGUUUUGCCAGCGCCAGCCACAUCUCCAGCAUGAAGGUGAUUGUCUGAGUGUGUCCAGUCCAGUUCCUGCCUUAAUAAAAAUCACUGCUGCAAGGGAGAGGGCUGCCAAGGCCCUGCCUCCCUCCAACCCCAUCCUAGCCUGAGUCUUAACCAUUCUUCCAAUCCAGUUCCACUUUGGGCCAGUGCUUAACCCAGGGUAGCACUUUUGAGCCUCGCAACUCUUGGGAGUGAGUUUUCAUCCUAACGUUCUCAGAUGAGGAAAUUGGGCCUCAAAGAGUCCACACAGGUGAGGCACCAUGGCUCAUGCCUAUAAUCCUAACACUUUGGGAGGCCAAGGCAGGAGGAAUGCUUGAGCCCAGGAGUUCAAGACCAGCCUGGGCAACAUGGUGACACCCUGUCUCUAUAAAAAAAUACAACAAUUAGGCAAACGUGGUGGCAUGCACCUGUCAUCCCAGCUACCUGGGAGGCUGAGGUGGGAGGAUUGCUUGAGCCCAGGAGGCUGAGGCUGCAGUGAGCCAUGAUCCUGCCAGUACACUCCAGCCUGGGUGACAGAACAAGACCCUGUCUCAAAAACAAAACAAAACAAAAACAAAAACAAAGCAUCCACACAACUAGCAGGUGAAAAACUGGGGUUCAAACUCAGGCCUAUAACACUAAGGGCUGGGCCUGUCCCCACCAAAUCAGUCUUUCCUCAGACAGGCUGAGGUGUCCUCUAUAGACCAAAUAUCUGGAGGUCAGAACACUGAGACACUAGUUAUGUAAAGGCAGGGUGUGAGUUGGUGAGCUCAUCGAGAAAAUGCUUCCUGGGCUGGGUGCAGUGGCUCACACCUGUAAUCCCAGCACUUUGGGAGGCUGAGGUGGACAGAUCACCUCAAGUCAGGAGUUCAAGACCAGCCUGGCCAACAUGCUGAAACUCUGUCUCUACUAAAAAAUACAAAAAUUUGCCAAGCGCAGUGGCACAUGCCUGUAAUACUAGCUCCUCGGGAGGCUGAGGCAGGAGAACCGCUUGAACCCAGGAGGCAGAGGUUGCAGUGAGCCAAGAUUGCACCACUGAACUCUAGCCUGGGUGACAGAGCAAAACUCUGUCUCAAAAAAAAAAAAAGAAAAGAGAAAAAAGAAAGAGAGAGAAAGAAAGAGAGAGAGAAAGAGAAAGAAA
rnacentral:lncRNA from 10 species